UGGAAGAUACUCCUACUACAAAUCAAAUAAACCCACCGAUAUCACGCUUGUUCGCUCUACUGAUGAUGCUAGCUUUCUGCGGGGAAUGUCGUGGUCGAUCGACGAUCAUGGCAAAAAUCAAGUCAUUGGGUGCCUUUCACGUGCUGGUCCCCAUUUUGUUUUCCUCUUGCUGUGACGCAUAUAUGAUACUAAAUUCCACUAUCUGCAGUUUGCCAGUUAGAAAGAACCUCCUGCAGUAGUCUGUAGUCGGUAAAGAGAAAACACCACUUUGUCUAUCUACUGUGCAUAGCUUUAUGAAGAGAAUCUAUCAGCAACUGAGGAUAAGUUUAUGAGUCCUAUGGUGCCUUUACACUGAUUUUGCCAUUUUACUAUUUUAGCUGCUAUGCACAUAUGACAUUCAUGUUGGUUCUUCUCAUAACACUAGGUGUCAAUAUGCUGUAGCUUUCCGUCUGUAUAUACUCGCUCUAUUUCACAUUUUGAAUUUUCUAGAAAAUUGCUUUUAUCAUGUCAUUUCAACUUUUUUUUAGAGAGUCAAAUCGUCUCAAGUUUGAUCAGAUUUAUAUAACAAAACAAUAGCAGUUAUGAUACCAAAUAAGUAUUAUUAGAUUCUUUAUUAAUUAUAUUCUUUUAUAGUAUACCUAUUUAAUGUUAUAAAUCUUUGCAAUUCUCUCUGUAGUUUCCAUCAAACUUGAGACAGUUUUGAACUCUCUAAUAAAGUUGGAAUGACUUGUAAUUUGAAGUGGAAGGAGUAUCUAAACAUAGCGUAUAUGUAAUGUAUAGUAAAAGUUAUAUAUCCAAAAAAAACUCAAAUCAUCUUUUGAUUUGAAAAUAUAGUGAGUAGUAACAUUUAUGCACGUACCUCGAGGGGAGGAAAAAAAACAGGGAAUACUGAAUUAACACAAGGGGCAAGCCCAUAGUAGCAGUUUAACUAAAGUGGCCGAGAUCAUUGUACAUACUGGAGGAA